GGGGAUCUAGCUCAGCGGUAGAGCGCUUGCCUAGCAAGCGCAAGGCCCUGGGUUCGGUCCCCAGCUCCA
rfam:Rattus norvegicus chromosome 2, whole genome shotgun sequence.